rnacentral:rRNA from 1 species
GGGCCCGCACAAGCGGUGGAGCAUGUGGUUUAAUUCGAAGCAACGCGAAGAACCUUACCAGGUCUUGACAUCCCACUGACCGGCUUAGAGAUAGGCUUUUCCCUUCGGGGACAGUGGUGACAGGUGGUGCAUGGUUGUCGUCAGCUCGUGUCGUGAGAUGUUGGGUUAAGUCCCGCAACGAGCGCAACCCUUGAUCUUAGUUGCCAGCAUUCAGUUGGGCACUCUAAGGUGACUGCCGGUGAUAAACCGGAGGAAGGUGGGGAUGACGUCAAAUCAUCAUGCCCCUUAUGACCUGGGCUACACACGUGCUACAAUGGAUGGUACAAAGAGCUGCAAACUCGCGAGGGUAAGCGAAUCUCAUAAAGCCAUUCUCAGUUCGGAUUGUAGGCUGCAACUCGCCUACAUGAAGCCGGAAUCGCUAGUAAUCGUAGAUCAGCAUGCUACGGUGAAUACGUUCCCGGGCCUUGUACACACCGCCCGUCACACCACGAAAGUUUGUAACACCCAAAGUCGGUGAGGUAACCGCAAGGAGCCAGCCGCNUAAGGUGGGAUAGAUGAUUGGGGUG